ACGGUCACUUCUACCAUGUUCAUCGGGACAGGACUACGAUGACCAGGAUCCCUCAGAUUCGUUUCAAGAUGCUUUUGCGAAACGCGCAUGUGUUAUGAAAGAAACGUGUGUUAUUAAUAAUUUGCAAAUGGGUGAAAUAUGUACAAUCGACAAGACUGAUGACAACAACAGAACGGUCUUCGAACACAUAUGCUUAAUGCAUGAUUUUAAUUGCAGAAAAUUGGGUCUUUUUUUCAUGGCAGCAAAUUGCAAAUUAGGAGACCAAUUUAUCAGGGAUACGACUAGCUUUAGAUGGCUUUAUACGAACCCCACAUUUUCGUACUCUACAACAACACCAUGGCCUAGUUCCAGGAUCACCUGGGCCAUGAAACGGAGUAAUAAUGAGUAUGUUUUAGCUAAUCAAACUUUAAACAGCACAAAUAAUUUGACUGAGAUUAAAAUUGGGAAUAAAAUAAACUGAAAAUCGGCAGUUUCAUAUAUGUUUCGUAGCUUGAGAACUUAUUUGGUUGGACUCUGAAAUAGUGGUGCUAAAGGUUGCUUUUCUACUGCAACAUAAUUAUACGACAGCCUAAUGUGACUUGGAAAUGUAUUUCGAAGUGGAACUACUCGUUAGUAGGUAAACAAGUAUUUUGCUUCUUGAAAGCUUUAACAUUUUAUGAACAGUAAAUGAAGCAACAAUUUCAAAAAAGGAGUUGUUAUAUUGGUUUUAUAAGUUCAUGCAAUGCAGGUUGUGUGUAAUAUUUUAUUAUAUAUAUAUCCAGUACUCCCUGCACAGUAUGUACUCUUAACGCCAUCUAGCUGGUAAAGUUGAGACUAAGACGUCAUUCAACCGAUUGUCGGUUGAACAACUUGAAUAACGAUUGCAGUUGGUGUAGUUAAAACUUACCAAUAGGUGACGCCGCUCACGUCGAACUCAAAGGAAUGUCAUAAAUUGUUUAAAUAGUACAGAAAGUAGUUUUAAGCGUAAUGUUAAAUAUAUGUCACUUAAAACAGUGAGAAAUAAUUUUUACUAAAUAAAUCAUACUUCUCCUACUCAGUUUCUAAAAAUAUCUAGACUAUUUAACAUAUUAUAACAUUUUUUUGGAAUGAUGUUAAUUUCUAAUUAAUAAUUACGUAAUUCAUUUUAAAUUUUACAGACAGAUUAUUAUUGUUUCAAGAGAAAAU